rnacentral:rRNA from 3 species
AAUCCAUAGGUUAAUGAGGCGAACCGGGGGAACUGAAACAUCUAAGUACCCCGAGGAAAAGAAAUCAACCGAGAUUCCCCCAGUAGCGGCGAGCGAACGGGGAGGAGCCCAGAGCCUGAAUCAGCAUGUGUGUUAGUGGAAGCGUCUGGAAAGGCGCGCGAUACAGGGUGACAGCCCCGUACACAAAAGCGCAUGUGUUGUGAGCUCGAUGAGUAGGGCGGGACACGUGGUAUCCUGUCUGAAUAUGGGGGGACCAUCCUCCAAGGCUAAAUACUCCUGACUGACCGAUAGUGAACCAGUACCGUGAGGGAAAGGCGAAAAGAACCCCGGCGAGGGGAGUGAAAAAGAACCUGAAACCGU